AACGAACGCUGGCGGCAUGCCUAACACAUGCCAGUCGAACGAGACCUUCGGGUCUAGUGGCGCACGGGUGCGUAACGCGUGGGAACCUGCCCUUAGGUUCGGAAUAACUCCCCGAAAGGGGUGCUAAUACCGGAUAAUGUCUUCGGACCAAAGAUUUAUCGCCUUUGGAUGGGCCCGCGUUGGAUUAGCUAGUUGGUAGGGUAAAAGCCUACCAAGGCGACGAUCCAUAGCUGGUCUGAGAGAAUGAUCAGCCACACUGGGACUGAGACACGGCCCAGACUCCUACGGGAGGCAGCAGUGGGGAAUAUUGGACAAUGGGCGAAAGCCUGAUCCAGCAAUGCCGCGUGAGUGAUGAAGGCCUUAGGGUUGUAAAGCUCUUUUACCCGGGAUGAUAAUGACAGUACCGGGAGAAUAAGCUCCGGCUAACUCCGUG
rnacentral:rRNA from 1 species